rnacentral:rRNA from 1 species
GACGAACGCUGGCGGCGUGCUUAACACAUGCAAGUCGAACGGAAAGGCCCUGCUUUUGUGGGGUGCUCGAGUGGCGAACGGGUGAGUAACACGUGAGUAACCUGCCCUUGACUUUGGGAUAACUUCAGGAAACUGGGGCUAAUACCGGAUAGGAGCUCCUGCUGCAUGGUGGGGGUUGGAAAGUUUCGGCGGUUGGGGAUGGACUCGCGGCUUAUCAGCUUGUUGGUGGGGUAGUGGCUUACGAAGGCUUUGACGGGUAGCCGGCCCGAGAGGGUGACCGGCCACAUUGGGACUGGGAUACGGCCCAGACUCCUACGGGAGGCAGCAGUGGGGAAUAUUGCACAAUGGGCGGAAGCCUGAUGCAGCAACGCCGCGUGCGGGAUGACGGCCUUCGGGUUGUAAACCGCUUUCGCCUGUGACGAAGCGUGAGUGACGGUAAUGGGUAAAGAAGCACCGGCUAACUACGUG